GGCUGAAGGCUGCGUGACUUCUUGAAGAUUCGGUUAUGGUGCCAGCUGGGAGGCAUCCAGGAAGGAUGGCGCUCUGUCUCACAGGAUCCCGCGUGGAGUUAUUAGUACACACCGGGUUCAUGGGGUGUGGGUCUGGAGCUGCUGGCCCAAGGAGCUACACUGGAGAAACUCCUCGACAUUCGUUCCUGCUAAAAGGUCAGAGAUCACGCGUGGCCCGCCUGCUCUAUGACCGGAGGGGAUCCUAUUUCUCCAGCCCUGGACUCUGGACCUGGUCGUGUGACUGGCUUUGACCACGGGGACAUUAGCAAACGCUCACAAGCAGAAGCUGGAAAAGCCCUCAUGCACCAGGCUCACCUUUGCUUGUUUCCAGAACCUUCCAGUGAACAAGCCCAGGCUAGUGUCCUGGGAGAGGAGAGGCCCCGGCUGUUCCAGCCAUCCCCCUUGACCCUGACAACCCCCAAGCCCUCAGGGUGUCUCUGCAGGGACAGUCACCGUCCCUACGGGAGCAUUGACCACCUAACUCACCGCCGUCCUUAAUGCACCAUCCACCUAGAAGGCUCAGAGAAUCAGGGUACCACUCCUUCCUGGGGUCACCCCAACACAGCCUUGCCGCCUAGCUCUGG